UUUAUGAAAGCAGCCUUAGAUUCAAUCGUCAAGGUUCUCCUUGGUAUCGAAGUAGACACCAUGUAUGGGACAAAUGAAGAAGCUACCCGGUUUUCCAAUGCUUUUGAUGUAGUAAAUGAGAUGACCUUGUAUCGUUGCGUUGAUUUCUCCUGGAAGAUUAAAAAGUUGUUAGACAUUGGAUCAGAAGCCAUGCUAAGGAAGAAUUUAAAAGUGGUAGAUGAGUUUGUUUAUAACUUAAUCAAAAGCAAGACUGAAACAGUUCCUAAUUCAGGAGAUGAUCCACAUGUGAGUUAUCUUCUGGCUUCCAGUCCAUAUCUGUUUUGUUCUAGAUUAAUUGAAUUAAAUUAUUAUUAUUAUUAUUAUUAUUAUUAUUAUUAAUGCAACUGAAUGAGUGGCAGUUGAAGAGAAGAGACAUUGUUUCGAGGCUUUUGGAAUCGAGGGAGACUGAUCCGAAGUACUUGAGAGACAUGAUCUUCAGUCUGGUUGUUGCUGGAAAAGACACAACGGCUAGCACUCUUUCAUGGUUUAUUUAUAUGAUCUGCAAGCAUCCUCAUAUACAGGAAAAGAUUGCACAGGAACUUAGAGAAGCAACAAAUAUGAAGGAUAAUUCAAGCAUUGAUGAGCUUGCCGACAACCUUACUGAAGAAGCCCUUGACAAAAUGCAAUAUCUGGUUGCAGCUUUGACUGAGACAACCAGGCUCUACCCUGCAGUUCCAUUGGUAAUUUUAUCUUUUAGCAUCUGAAAUCUAAUGCCUGAAUUUGGAUCUAUCUUUAUUUUUUUACUUAUCAAUGAACAAAGGAUCAAGUUUGUGUCAUGGUGUCAUAGAAUGCGAAGAUUUGUUCAUGUGACGAUACUUGGCCAGAUGGAUUUAGUGUAAAAAAAGGGGAUUUGGUGGGAUACCACGCUUAUGGCAUGGGGAGGAUGAAAUUUCUAUGGGGUGAUGAUGCAGAAGAAUUUCGGCCAGAGAGAUGGCUCGACGAAAAUGGGGUUUUCAAGCAAGAAAGCUCUUUCAAAUUCACAGCCUUCAGUGUAUGGAAAGAAUGUUGAGAUAUCAUCACUGAUACAUAUUACACAUGUUUUCUUGUUUGCUGGAGAGAAAUUAUUUUAAUUCUGAAGAAAUUUAAAUUAUGAUUUACACAGGCCGGUCCAAGGAUUUGUCUAGGGAAGGACUUUGCUCAAAGAGAGACGACGAUGUUUUCUGCUGUACUUGUUGGCAGCUACAUAUUCAAGCUGAGGGAUGAGAACAAAGUGGCCAACUACAAGACCAAGAUCACCCACCAUAUUGAGGGAGGCCUUUAUGUGCAAGCGUCUCCAAGAUUUGCGCAUGCAAUGCAAGACCUUAAUUAGAUAUAUGUAUGCCUUAAACUUCCAGUACUUUUUCUAUAUAUUUAUUGUUUUACUUCUUAAUUAUCAUAACAAAAGAAGCAGCCUAUAGUUCUUUCAUUACGUAUUUGGUGACACAAAUGCGUUCGUUUGUAAGCAUUGUUGUUUUGCAUUGCAUUGGACCAACCUUAUCACUAUAUUAUGAAUAAUUGCUCGAUCUCCAACAAAAUUAAUUAUCUUCCCUUAUGUUGUAUUGAUAUAUUUCUUUCUUUCAUCUCAUUGAAAUCAAAUGUGAUACGGUGGAAAGUAGAUCUUGGACAUUUUUCUAACUUUAAAUAUAAAAUACCACGAAAUUAGAAGGUACUUGAGAUAGCCAACUCACUUUUACAGUUUACCGGAAGUAUGCAGCACGCACCCUAGUAACAGCUCAGCCAGAGAUAGGCUCGCAUGAUUGCAUCGGCCCUUGAAAAUUCGGAAGACCGAGUGUCAUUUACGUCCGAUCGGGCCUGGGUUCAAAUGAGACAACCAGACUAUACCCUGCUGUUCCACUUGUGAUUAUAAUUCAAACAUAAUUGCAAGGCUAAGCUGAUAUAAACAACAUUGUCUGCUGACCUUUCUGAAUUUGAAUCUUUAUAAUUACUUUUAACAAGUUUUAUUCGUAUUAGCGUGUGGUCGUUCUGAUUCAAUUAAAAAAGAUAAGCUGAAGAUAUAUACAAAGAAGAGUAGAAAGGUGAAAUAUUAAGACUUGGGCUUCCUUAAAAAAGAUAUAUAAAUCUCUCUGCCAUUUAAAUCUCCAGAGAAUGAAUGGCUGAAAAUCCAAAUGCCAAGUCUUAGGAGCACGCUACUACACUUGCUCGAGGAGUUCAAGAACAUUAGAGAGCUUAAGAAAAUUCAUACCCAAAUCAUAAAGUCUCCAUUUUUAUCCACAGAUGACCAAGCUUUCCUCAUUACCCGUCUCCUAUUCUUCUCCGCCAUUUCUGAUUCUGAUUCGGGUUCUCACAGAUACGCUGCCCAUGUCUUUCGGGCCAUAAAGGAUCCGAAUCUCUACGUCUAUAACGUCAUGAUCAGAGCAUAUGUGUGUACAAAGGAUGAAACUCUUUCUUCGUUUGGGUCCUUGUUGCUGUAUAAGCAAAUGCUCUGCGAUGGCAUUUCCCCUAAUUGUCUCACUUUUCCGUUCCUUGUAAAAGAAUGCACGAGUAGGUUUGAUGGCGGCACAGGCCGGAGUUUCCAUGCACAAGUCGUUAAGUAUGGGCUGGACAAUGAUGUUUUUGUUCAAAAUUCGUUGAUUGGUAUGUACUCUGCAUGUGGGUUUCUGAAUAGUGCACGUACAUUGUUUGAUGAAAUGUUGGAAAGGGAUGUUGUUUCUUGGAACUCGAUGAUAAAGGGGUAUUUGAGAAGUGGGAAUCUUGAUGUGGCAUUGAAUCUGUUUGGGAAGAUGAACAAGAGAAACAUCAUUACUUGGAAUUCCAUGAUUACUGGGUUUGUUCAAGGUGGUCGGCCAAAGGAGGCCUUGGAACUUUUCCAUGAAAUGCAGAUCACUAGUGGUGAUAUGGUUAAACCGGAUAAGAUCACAAUUGCCAGUGUCCUUGCAGCUUGUGCUCAUCUUGGUGCAAUUGAUCAUGGGAUAUGGGUGCAUGCGUACCUGAGGAGAAGUGGCCUGGAGAGUGAUGUGGUUAUUGGGACAGCUCUGGUUGACAUGUACGGUAAGUGUGGAUGUGUGGACAAAGCGUAUGAGGUCUUUCAGGAAAUGCUCAACAAGGAUACUUUGGCAUGGACAGCUAUGAUUUCAGUGUUGGCUCUCCAUGGGUUUGGAAAUGAGGCUUUUGACAUUUUUAAACAGAUGGAAACAACUGGGGUGAAGCCAAACCAUGUGACAUUUGUCGGGCUAUUGUCAGCUUGUGCUCAUUCUGGUUUAGUAGAGAAAGGUCGCUGGUGUUUUAAUGUGAUGAAGUGUGUUUACUUAAUUGAACCGCAGCUCUAUCACUAUGCAUGCAUGGUUGAUAUUCUUAGUCGUGCCGGGCUGAUUGAAGAGGCAGAACGGUUUAUAAGAAGCAUGCCAAUGAAGCCAGAUGCAUUUGUUUGGGGUGCAUUACUCGGAGGCUGUCAAAUACAUGGAAAGGUCGAGUUAGGAGAAAGGCUGGCGCAGUAUUUAAUUGGUUUGGAACCUCUGAACCAUGCUUUUUAUGUUAACUUGUGUGAUAUAUAUGCCAAAGCUAAUAGAUUUGAUGAUGUAAAGAGAAUCAAAUCCUUAAUGAAAGAAAGAGGGAUAAAAAAGGAAGUCCCAGGCUCUAGCAUGAUUGAAAUUGAUGGGGUUGUUCUUGAAUUUUCUGUGAGAGGAUCACCAGAUGUUGUAAUGGAGGAAGUAUUGUUGGUCUUGUAUCAGUUGAGCCAAAGGGGGCCUUGGACUGUUAAGUUUAUGAUUGAAUAGCGGUUACUGGUAGCUUUCAAAAUCUAUCUAAAUAUUGUCUAGAGAUCCGCACAUAUGAAAGAAUAAAUCAAAGAAGUGGGGUGCAACUAGAGGACUUCCGAGAAGGUCACUCUUCCUAGUAGGCUAGCACACUCUCGCCUAAAGGAAUGGUUCCCUCUUGAAAUUCUGAUUAUCAAAUUGCUGUGCAAAUGCUAAUUUCAGUGUAAGAUCUCACAUCAACCAACGGAGAGGGGGUGAUGUGCCUUACUGAUGGAUUGGCAGAGAAGGAAAUUGCCUUGCUGAUAGAUUGGCAGCUCUAGGCUUGCAACUGGAGAGGGGAUGCAGAAUUUGGGAUAGUAUGCCGGAAGGGCUUGGGCUUUUUUUCUUGGAGGAUUUGAGCGGGGUUUCAAGCCUCUCUCUCUCUCUCUCUCUCUCUCUAUCUAUAUAUAUAGCUUCUGUUAAAUCACACACACACCAAAAAAAAAAAAAACAGGUGUUUCUUUUCUUCCUCAUCCCCAUGGGUGCAAUGGAUUUUCUUUCCACUCCGAUACCUCCCAUAGCAAUAAGUUUAGUAGUAACUAGCAAGGGCGCCCGCGCGAUGCUGCGGGUUUUGAAAUUGCGUCAAAUGUGUAUAAAAUCGUUAAAAUAUGUAAGAAACAUGGCUUUGUUUAUAUGUAUAUUGAGAUCUAAAUAGUGGCAUCAUGCUUAGUUUAGUACGUUUAAGAAAGCCAUACUGCCCUCACUUGUUGAACUUGAGCCAUCCAAUCUCUUUCUAUCAGUGCCAAAUAGGUCGUAGGAGAAAGACAGGUCUCAGUUUGGUAUCAGAGCCGGUUACAAUGGUGGACAAUCUAAGGGCAGAAGGCGGUGAAGUUACAAAAAAUAAAUUAAUAAGAUGAUACAUGUGCUGCUUAUUAUGUUAAAAUACUAGCCCUAUUUAUACAUAAAUUGAGAUCUAAACAGUGCCAUUAUGCUUAGUUUGGCAAGUUUAAGUUGUAAAAAAUAAACUAACAUGUUUUAUAUGUUGCUUGUUAUGUUAAAAUAUUAUGCAUAAAUUAUAUAUAUAAAUUGAGAUCUAAACAGUGCCCUAUUUAUAUAUAAAUUGAGAUCUAAACACUCUAAUGAACUUCUCUAGGCUGCACGAUUACAUGACUGAGUCUGCAUGCAAACACAAAACUUAAAGGGCGCUUAACUUGUUCAUAAAUUGUGUUAUCAUCACAGAUCCUGCAAACGUUGAGUACAUCCUCAAAACACACUCCGCAAACUAGUAUUCCAGAAACAUUGAAAACAAAAGUCACAUUUAAAGGGCAAUAACAUUAACGUGCACAAACCCACGUACACUAUCUCUUCCCAAGGCUGCAUAGUGCUGUAAACCAUUGCAUGAACCAUCCUAAAAAGAUUAUUGCUCAUUAGUAAGAUAAACAUGGAAAAGGCAAGAGUUAGGAAUUAUGCUCAUGGAAAUUUACAGAUGGAAGAACAGUAUAAAAAUGAGAAACAGAUCAUGAUCAUGCAUAUAUAUAUAUAUAUAUAUAUAUAUGGGUUUGAAUAUUAAAUAAUAGAACAAUCCUAAAAAGCUUGAAUAAGUAAUUUACCUGAUGGGAUGGAUGGGCAAAUGAGAAAUGACAGUACGUAUGUGGUGAUGGGUUAUUUAACGCUUCUAAGAGAUUGAUAGAAGCAGCCAGGUACUGUGAAGGAUCUUCAGCUGUUAACCACCAACGGUUUCCUUUAACAGGGUUUGUUGCUGAAUCAAACAUAUCAUCAACGCACGAAUGCUAGUCGCCCCUCAUAUGAAAGCUUUUCAACACCGCCUGCAUAAAGGUUUGCUAAAUAAAUCUUCAGCCAACACAAUCCAGACUUCCUAAUGGUCAUCCUUCAUCAAAUUCAAGGACUCCUCGACAGAGACCAGAACUCAAAUGAUUCAAAUGUGGAUGCAUUGGGUAUGUUCGGCCUCGGAAAUCAAGAUCGUGGGGGAUAAUAAAAGCCGUAUGUCCUCAUAUAUAUAUUAUUUCUACAAGUAUAGCCACGGCAUAGCCAAGCGGCUGUACUAUUUAAAUCUAUUAUUUUAAGGGUAUAGCCGUCCGGCUAUACUAUUUAAAUCUAUUAUUUUACUAUUAAAAGUAUAGCCGCGCGGCUAUACUGUUUAAACAUGUUAUUUGUAAUAGUCUAGCCGCGCGGCUGUACUAUUUAAAUCUAUUAUUAUUAACGGUAUAGCCGAUCGGCCACACUAUUGAAAUCUAUUAUUUUUAAACAGUAUAGCCGUUCGGCUAUACUAUUUAAAUAUAUUAUUUGUAAUAGUAUAGCCGCGCGGCUGUACAAUUUAAAUCUAUUAUUUUUAAGAGUAUAGCCAUGCGGUUAUACUAUUGAAAUCUAUUAUUUUAUACCAUUAAAUAUAUUUUUUACAGUACAGCCGUCCGGCUAUAAUAUUUAAUUAUCCGGCUAUACCUUUAAAUAUAUUAUUUUAAACAGUAUAGGAAAGAUUCCUCGCCAAGAUUCGGAGAUGCACAUCAGACAAAUAAAUGCUUGUAAAAUUUUUAUUAAAAGAGAAAACAAAAAACCAAUGCUGGGGAUGAACCCUAAAGAAUGUACGAGCAGGUUGGUGGCUUCCUGGGCCCGAGCUUCAAUGCGCAAGUAAAUGUUGAAAGAAUGUACGAGACGGCGAUGGUUGAUAUUUUUGUUCAGAAUUCGUCGACGAGUAUGCAUUCUGCAUGCGGGGUUUUGGGGAGUGCACGUAAGUUGUUUGAUGAAAUGAUUAAUGGGGAUGUUGUUUCUUGUUGGGUAAUCCUGAUGAGGCAUUGAAUCUGUUUGGGAAGAUGAACAAGAGAAACAUUAUUACUUAGAAUUCCGCAAUUAGUCUCAGUAUUCAUUCAUUUCUUACCAAACUUAAUUAUUUUUGUAGAAAGCUCAUGUAAAAUUAUUUUUGGAUAAGAGCAUAUCCCACAGAAAUUUGGUCAGCCAUGUGAUUUCUUUCCAAUCUUCUGCACACACCAUGCACCACAAAGCUUGUGGCCAACUUUAGAUUAAAGCCAGUUUGUUUUUUGCAGACUUUAUAAGAUAAGGCAACUAUAUGUCCUAAUCCUUUAGUGGAACACGUGUUUGUUGUUCAACCCCUUCAAACACACUCUUCCUCCUGCUAUACAUUAAUUCUUCAUCAUCCCCGUGAGUGUUAUGGAUUUUCUUUCCACUUCCUUUUCUCCAAUAGCAAUAGGCUUAGCAGUAGUAAAUUUUAACAGGUUGCUUGGCUUGUUCAGAAGUGAUGUUUAUACCACAGAUCCUGCAAAUGUUGAAUAGAUCCUCAAAACAAACUUUGCAAACUCUUGCAAGGUACAUUACCAGGCUAAAGGAAGAAUUCAGUGUGACUAGGAAAUUUCAGUAUACUUUUUUCUGCCACAUAUUUGAAGACAGAACAGUUUAAUGGGUUUAUAAAUGCUCAUUGAACUAUCAAUACUAGCGGUAUGUUAUAUAUUUUCAUAGGUGUAAUGUUAUAUAUCUAAUAACAGAAGUUCUAAUUCCUUACCUGUUGCAGGGGUUAUACCACCACAGCAUUUUGUCAGAUGUUAUAGGUGAUGGGAUCUUGACUGUGGACGGGGAAAGAUGGCAGCAUCAAAGGAAGGUAGCGAGCUAUGAAUUAUCAACCAAAGUAAUGAGAGACUUCAGCAGUGCAGUCUUCAAAACCAAUGCAGUCAAACUUGCUCACAUAAUUUCUGAAGCUGCAACCUGCGACCAAGCAAUAGAGAUUCAAGUAAGUUUGCAAUGUUUCAAUAAUUGCGUCAAGUUAUUAAUUCAUUACUUCUGAAGAAAAUAUAUUAAUCUUGCUUGGUGCUUCUGGAAACGGGUUGUUUAUGAAAGCAUCCUUAGAUUCAGUCAUCAAGAUUUUCCUCGGUAUUGAACUCGAAACCAUGCGUGGGACAAAUGAAGAAGGUACCCGGUUUUCCAAUGCUUUUGAUGAAGCAAAUGCAAAUACCCUGUAUCGUUAUGUUGAUUUCUCCUGGGAGAUCAUACUGUUCUUAAACAUUGGAUCAGAAGGAGUGUUAAAGAAUAAUAUCGAAGUGAUGGAUCAAUUUGGUUAUAAAUUAAUCAAAAGCAAGAUUAAAACAGUCCAUAAUUUGGAAGAUGAGCUACCUGUGAGUUACUUUUCUAACCAUCUGUUUGUUCUAAGUUAGAUUAAUUUAGUAUUAUUAUUACUAAUAUAACAUGGAUGACUGGCAGUUAAAGAAAGGAGACUUAUUUCAAGGCUUUUGGAAUUGAGAGAGACUGAUCCAAAGUACUGGAGAGAUAUGAUCCUCAGUCUCAUUGUUGCGGGCAAAGACACAACGGCUAGCACUCUUUCAUGGUUUCUUUAUAUGCUCUGCAAGCAUCUCAUAUAUAAGAGAAGAUUGCACAAGAAGUUAAAGAAGCAACAAAUCUGAAAGAUAAUUCGAGCGUUGAUGAGCUUGUAGCCAGCCUUAGUGAAGAAGUGCUUGAAAAAAUGCAAUAUCUCCAUGCAACUUUGACUGAGACACUCGGGCUCAAUCCUGCAGUUCCCCUGGUAAUUUCCCAUCUUUAAUUUAGUGCAUGAAUGCAAUGUGCAAGCACAAUUACAAGGUUAAGCUCAUACACCUAACACUCUUUGGAUUUUCUGAAUUUGAUCUGUUACUUUUUUUAACAAGUUUGUGUGAUGCUGUCUUAGGAUGCAAAGGUUUGUUUAUCUGAUGAUACUUGGCCAGAUGGAUUUAGUGUCAAAAAAGGGAAUAUGGUUGGGUACCAUAUUUAUGGCAUGGGGUGGAUGAAAUUUCUAUGGGGUGAUGAGGCAGAAGGCUAGAGAGAUGGCUCAACAAAAAUGGCCAUUUCCAACAAGAAAGCCCUUUCAAAUUCACAGCCUUCCAGGUAAGAAAAAAAUUAAAUUGACAUCACUAACACAUGCCAAAUUUGUUAAAAUAGAAAGAGAAAGCCUGUUAUCAUUAUAGGAUUUCUGAAGAGAUUUUGUGAUCUACACAGGUGGGUCCAAGAAUUUGUUGUCUAGGCAAGGAAUUAGCUUAUAGGAAGAUGAAGAUCUUCUGUGCUGUGCUUUUAGGCAGCCACAAAUUUAAGCUGAGUGAUGAGAACACAGUGGCCUAUUACUGGACCAAGCUCACCCUCCAUAUUGAUGGGGGCCUUCAUGUGCUAGCCUCUCCAAGAUUGGGGCAUGCAUGACCGCGACCUUAGAUAUUUUGUCUUAAACAUGGCCCCUUGUACUGGUCUAUAUAAUUGUACUGAGUGUAUUCUUAUUGUAUUGGUUGUUAUCGUUGUGAAAGAAGCCUAGCCCUUUACGUAUAUCCAUAUAUAGCUUAGAUAAAUACACACACACCCAAAAAAAAACAGAGAAAACAGAAAGUUGUCUUAAUUUGUCUGACUUUUCUAACAGAAAACAGAGUAAACAGAGAACACACACACCCAAAAAAAAACAAGGUUUUCUCUUCUAUAUAUACAUGUAAGAAGUGUUUCUUGUCUUCAUCAUCCCCAUGAGUUUUAUGGAUUUCCUUUCCACUUCGUUACUUCCGAUAGCAAUAAGUUUAGCAGUAAUUUUAGCUAUACUUAUGAUUUCCGUUACCUCCUAUAGCAAUAAGGUUUUCCAAUGCUUUUGAUGUAGUAAAUGAGAUGACCUUGUAUCGUUGCGUUGAUUUCUCCUGGAAGAUUAUAAAGUUGUUAAACAUUGGAUCAGAAGCCAUGCUAAGGAAAAGUUUAAAAGUGGUAGAUGAGUUUGUUUAUAACUUAAUCAAAAGCAAGACUGAAACAGUGGCAAAUUCAGGAGAUGAUCUACAUGUGAGUUAUCUUUUGGCUUCCAGUCCAUAUCUGUUUUGUUCUAGAUUAAUUGAAUUACUAAUUAUUAUUAUUAUUAAUGCAACUGAAUGAGUGGCACAGGCAGUUAAAGAGAAGAGACAUUCUUUCGAGGCUUUUGGCAUCAGGACAGACUGAUCCAAAGUACUUCAGAGACAUUAUAUUCAGUCUGUUUGUUGCCGGAAAAGACACAGCGGCUAGCACUCUUACAUGGUUUAUUUAUAUGGUCUGCAAGCAUCCUGAUAUCCAAGAAAAGAUUGCACAGGAAGUUAGAGAGGCAACAAAUCUGAAAGAUAAUUCAAGCAUUGAUGAGCUUGCAGACAACCUUACUGAAGAAACCCUUAGCAAAAUGCAAUAUCUGGUUGCAGCUUUGACUGAGACAAGCAGGCUCUACCCUGCAGUUCCACUGGUAAUUUUAAGCAUCUGAAUGCAAUUUUAAUUGCAAGAGCUGGCUUAAUUUUUUGAAUUUGGAUCCUUUAUUUAUUAUUACUUAUUAAUGAACAAAUUAAGUUUGUGUGAUGUGAUGGUGUCAUAGAAUGCGAAGGUUUGUUCAUCUGAUGAUACUUGGCCAGAUGGAUUUAGUGUCAAAAAAGGGGAUAUUGUGGGAUACCACGCUUAUAGCAUGGGCAGGAUGAAAUAUAUAUGGGGUGAUGUGAUGAUAUCAUCACUGACACAUAUUGCACAAAUUUUGUUUUUUGUUUUUUGUUUUGUUUUGUUUUGGUUUGGUGGAGCGAACAUAACACCGAAAUCAUUGUAAUUCUGAAGAAAUUUGAUUUAUGGUUUACACAGGCGGGUCCAAGGAUUUGUGUGGGGAAGGACUUUGCUUAUAGAGAGAUGAUGAUCUUUUGUGCUGUGCUUCUAGGCAGCUACACAUUCAAGCUGAGGGAUGAGAACAAAGAGGCCGAACUACAGGACCAAGUUCACCCACCAUAUUGAUGGGGGCCUCUCCAAGAUUUGGGCAUGCAAUGCAAGACCUUAAUUAGAUAUUUGCCUUAAACUUGCACCACUUUCUAUAUACUUAUUGUUAAUUAUCAAAAGAAAAGAAGCAGCCUAGUCUUUUACGUAUUUGAUCACACAAUUGCGUUCUGUGUUGUUGUAAGCUCCGAUGGAAUUAAUUAUAUAUUCUGUUAUAUAUGUUGUUGAUGAAUGAUGAUACAUUUCUUUCUUCCAUCUCAUUGAUUUGUUGCACCGUGAAAUAGUCAUAUGUGAUACUGUUGGGAACGACCAAAUUCUGGCUGGCAGCUUUAGAUGGUGGUUAAGAUUUAAAACAUGGGCUUCAUUUAAAAAGUUAUACAAAUCACGCGUCCAAAUUCUAAUCCCUGUUUAUCUCCCGAGUAUGAUAGAAACUCAAAUGCAAGUCACGUGAAUGUAUGAUUGAUUGAAUAGCUUUCAGCUUUAAAAAUCUAUCUAGGAGAUUUUCAAUUCUGAAGUUAGUUGGUCGGUUGUUUGUUGUCAGUCACUUGAGACAUGAAUUUUCGGACAGAUACACAAAAAACACACAUUUCUCUUCUAUAUAUGAUACUACAAGUCUACAAGUGUUCAUUCUUCAUAUCCCCGAGCCAUGAGUUCUGCCAUGGAUUUUCUUUCCACCCCGAUAUCUCCCAUAGCAACAAGUUUAGCAGUAAUUUUAGCUACACUUAAAUCAGAUCCCAUGCUAGAAGAUUGGGUACUGAGAGCAAAAAGAAAUACCAUCCUGUUGUCACAAACUACAUAAACACCCUAAUGAACUUCUCUAGGCUACACGACUACAUGACUGAGUUUGCAUACAAACACAAAACAAGGGCGCUUAACUUGUUCAUAAAUUAUGUUGUCACCACAGAUCCUGCAAACGUUGAGUACAUCCUCAAAACAAACUCCGCAAACUAGUAUUCCAGAAACAUUGAAAACAAAAGUCACAUUUAAAGAUGCCAAUGAAAGGAGAACAAUAUAAAAAUGAGUAACAGAUCAUGAUCAUGCAUCAUAUAUAUAUAUAUAUAUAGGGUUUAGGGAUGGGCAGCCAGUACGUAUCCCUAAACCCUAAGCAGCCAGUACGUAUGUGGCCGAUGGAUGGGCAAAAGAAAUGACAAUACUGUGAAAGGAUCUUCAGCUGUUAACCACGAACGGUUUCCUUUAACAGGGUUUGUUGCUGAAUCAAAUAUAUCAUCAAUCAAUGGGAUUAUCCACGAAUGCUAGUCGCCCCUCAUAUGAAAGCUUUUCAACACCGCCCGCAUACAGGUUUGCUGAAUAAAUCUUCAGCCAACACAAUCCAGACUUCCUAAUAAUGGUCAUCCUUCAGCAAAUUCAAGGACUCCUCAACAGAGAUCAGAACUCAAAUGAUUCAAAUGUGGAUGCAUUGGGUAUGUUCGGACUCGGAAAUCAAGUUUGUGGGGGAUAGUAAAAGCCUUCGUCGUAUAUUUAAACAGUAUAGCCGCGCGGCUAUACUAUUUAAAUAUAUUAUUUUUAAAAGUAUAGCCGCGCGGCUAUACCUUUUAAAUAUGUAUUGAUUCGUUUGGAUUAAUGAAAUUAUGACUUUUCCCUAAAAAACAGCUUUGAAUUUCAGUAGAAGCGUCUUCUUUACUAUACAAUAUGCCAAAGAUUUCAAACAUGAUAAGCUCCAAAUCCCGAGUCUGAUAGAAACUCAAAUGCAAGUCCUGGGUAAACAAUCUUACCCAUUUACACUGACUCGAAGAAUGCAAGAACAUGGGAGAUGAUGAGCCUGUCUCUCCUAUUGAAGUUUAAAGCUUAAUUCAUUAAUACCAAGCAAGACCAAGAAAUAAAGGAAGGGAGAGAAAUGGAUAGGGUUGAAGCUUGAAGCUUGAGAGAAGCGGAUAAGGUUUUCGAGGGAAAGUCUUGUGUUUUAGGAGAUGGCUCUUGUUUUUGAGACCGUUGGGUUGGCUCUUGCUUGUAAUAGUCUUGGGCUGGCAUUUCAAAAGGCCCAAAUUGGGGUUCAUUCACAAGGCCCAAGCUCACAAUUAGGUUGGGUCUUCAAUUAACGAAGAAAGAAAAUUGGUUCGGCCUCCAAGUUCCAACCAAUAAAAUUGGAAUAAUAUGUAUCCAGAGAUUUUAUAGGUGCAAUAAGAAAUUUUGGGAUUGAAUUCAAAAUGUGGUGGGUGUGCUAAUCAAAACCUUAGGUGCAUUUACAAAUCCCUAAAAUAUUCUCUCAUACAUAUACGUGUAAGUGAUUCUCUCUUACGUGAUGAACCUAUAAUGUUAAACCAAUGUUGAAAGAUAUUUCAAGUUCGAAUGCCUCAUUUCUCGUCAAUAAAAAAAAAAAAAACAAAGCUAUUUAAUUAGUGAGAAAAAGAAUGGAAUUUCUCAGUCACAAAUAUUAUUAUAGGAGUUCAUUUCCUAAGAUGAUGAGAAUGCCCCUCUUUAAUAUCAUUGUUGGAUAUAAACAAAGCUGAAAUAAGUAGCAAGAAAUGUGGCCUAUUCUUAUAUUAAGCUCUAAAUUGAUACAAGGAUGUAAUUGGUAUUUAUGGUCAGAUAUUUAAAGACUGAUUCAUCAUUGAAACAAAUAUUUUUAUACCAAAUUUAGAAUACACUAGAUGCCAAACCAAGGACCAGCACUGCACGACCUGUAGAGCAGUAGCAUGCAGUGGUAAAUCAUACAUCACAAAACCCUCCUAUUUCAAUUUUCAGCUACUAUAUAUAUGUAAAGCCGCACUUGGCCAGACCGUACAAUGUGCCUCACAAAAAACAAUGCUUUCUCCACAAAAAAAACACCCUAUCCUACUCUUUUGAAGGUGAAAAGAAUGUCUCAGAUUACAUGCUACUUAGGCGCACCCCAAAAUAUCCUAUCUUCUCCACCAUCUCAUUUGCGAUCAUAUUCUUCAUUAUCUAUGUAGACAACACUGUCUUUAACCUUCCCAUGCAUCCUGUUGACCUGAGAAUCCACGAACUUUUUCAAGAUCACAACACUCGAUUACCUCGACAGAAAACUGAAUCAGCCUUGACUGCUGAGAGCAUGCCACAGCUUUCCAUGCAGGAAAAGAUAGAUGAAGUUGCAGAGGAAGUUCCUGAUCCUCUGGUUCCUCCAGAAAAUGUCACUAAAGGGGAAGCUCCCGGAACUGCAGAUACUCAACUCAAACAAUUUAACAGAGCAGUUUCAUGGUCGAGUACUUGAGUUCCUCAACCAUGGAUGCAGUGUUCAGUUCUACAUGAUAUGGUUUUCACCAGCAACCAAGUUUGGCAAAAGAGAAUUCAUGGCCAUGGAAUUCUCUUUAAAUUCAAUCCUAAAGGGUGCGUGAUUUGAUGAUCCUAUCAAAAAGCAUGGAUUCAGGAAGUGGAUACAGAAUCCUGAAGCCGCUUCUCGAUCGAGGAUUCAAAGUAAUAGCAUUAACACCAGACCUGUCCUUUCUAGUCAAGAACACCCCAGGUGAAACUUGGCUUCAAGAAUUAUGACUAGUCUCAGACAACUGUGUCAUUUGACCUGAUAUGUAUAAUUCUUAAGGAAAUUUUUGCGCCAUAAGAUGGUGAAGGUGAAGCCUAUAUGCUUAGGCAUUUGACUCACCUAGUCACAUCACAUGUAGCAAAACCCGCUAUCUCUCUAGUAGAGUUCAUAGUUCCAUUAUUACAGAGAGGGUCACGGGUCGCGGGUCGCGGGUGUGGGCGAGGGGUCGUCGCGGCCUGGUGGUGGUGAUCGACUCGUGAGAGAGAAAGAAGCAACAACGUGAGGUUUUUAAAGUCAGAGAAAAAAAAGACCCGCCCAGGCGCCCAGAGCCGCCUAGAUCCGCCUAGGCGCCGCCUAGGCCGAUUUUUCGAAUCUGAAGCAAAAGAAAAGAAUUCAUAGCCACUUGAAUGUCCCAGCUUGAAGCAGAUUCUUGUCUCGUCCCAUACCAUCAGUUUUCAGAUUGAAAAAUCUUACAUCUUUGCAAGCAUCAACACUUGAAAGAUACUCUAGCCUCCCUAACUAGACCAGUAACAAAGGUCCAAGCUUUACCUGCACACAGCUUGCCUGGAUGGUCCCUGAUUUUUUUUUAAAAACGGUGAUUUGAGCAUAACCCAUCACCAUAAAAGUAUCCAACUUCAAGUUCAAUCCCAGAAACUAAAAACUUUUGCAGUGCAAAAAUUGAAUCCCCGUGCUACCUUCAUUUAAAGAACAGGAGAGAGCAAGAAACGGGGGUACAAAUUUGCAUUUUAUGUGUCUGAAACGGUUAAUGGGUAGUAGCUGCCGAGAUUGAGAACAAGACAGUGGAAGAGAGGAUCCAAGUGGCAAACGAAAUGCGAGCUUGAGAUAAACCGUGUUGGUUUGACAGCGAAAGUGUUUUAGAGACCGUUUGGUGGGCUUUCGGCUUGUAUUAUUAACUCCAAAGGCCCAAAACGAUGGGCUUCAUUCACAAGCCUCAAGCCCAGAAGAUUUGCAUAUACCUUUUUCACCCAACAGAAAAAAUAAAAAGUAUAAAUUAUAAAGGGCAGUUUGUAAUUUAAAAUGGUUCUCUAAAAUUCUUAAUGUUCUCAGAAAAUCCAACGAAUGCUAAUAAAAAUUAGAUAUUUUAUUUUAUUUUUAUAGCUUUCAACUAAUAAAGUUAAGGGAUUCUUAUGUGUAACAAGAUAUUUACUCAUUGUUCUAAGCAAGGCAGUUUAGCUUAGUGAUCUAAUCAAAUCCUGAAUGCAUUUUAGAAACCCUAAAAUUGCUCAUGUUCUAGAAGCAAUGGCGGUGUUGGAAAUGACAAAAUUGGAGGCCCACUUGAAUGCGAGAAUUGAUUUCUUCUUAUAAACCUAAUUCAAACCUAAUUACACCAAAGCUAUUUGGUUCGUAUGAUGAACAUGUCCCUCCCUUUGAUAAUUAUUGUUUGAUCGAUCCAAUGAUGUAAGAGGUAUAAAUAAUAAACCAGCUGUAAUAAGUAGCUAUAAAAUCUGCCCUUUUCCUAUAAUUGAUUCAAGGAUGUCAUUUGUAUUUAUGUUUGUCAAAAUGGCCAUGAAAGCUCGAUCCAUUAAGAUUGUUUUGAACAUUAAAGCAAUAAAAAACACUCAUAAAAUUUGCUAAAUAUUUGGUCCUCAUAACUGCAAUACUUGCCACAUACAUUCACGUCUAAUUCUUGCAAAGAUGAUUGAUGAUUCAAAUCAGAGCCAUUGCUUUAAAUCAUACACUAAGGGUGUAUCCAAUUCUAACUUUUAAAGACAUUUUUUAAGUGAGUGACUUUUCUAGAGUUGACAAAUUCUUAAUGACUUUUACAUACUUUAAAAAGUUAAGUGACAAACUUUCAUAUACUUUUGUCAUAGAGUUUUAUAGACUUUUAAAUACUUAUUUUUUAAAUUUAUUUUACGAAUAGCAUUUAUCUUUUAUGUUGAAUGAAUAGUCGGCAUACAUGGAAUAAAAAAUUAGGAAAAAAAAAACAAUUGGAUACAAAUCCUUAUUAAUUGUGUAUAUUUUCAUAAUAGCUUAUAGGUAAAAUGCAUCCAAUGCACCUUUUAAAUUUUUAUUUAUCAAAAUCUAAUCACAUAGUAACAUAUUCUUAUCAAAAGAAAUAAAUAUUACUCAAUCAUCAAUAAUAUUUCAUAAACACUUACAAAUCAACAGAAAUGGUCAGAUUACAACUUACAAGAGUCUAUAUUCCUGCAAUUCUCCUAGCCCAAUACAUGGGAUGUAAUCAAAUUGAGAAUAUUAUAUGAAAAAAUUAUCCACCUAACGAAUUAUGGGUUAAGAAACAAUACCUAAAUAAUAAAUUAAUGAGUUUAAGGGCAAAAAAUUAUAUAAUAAAAUAUUGUAUGCAAACCUAGCAUAUGAGACAAUCAAUAUAAUAAAAUAUUUAUAUGCAAACAUAGCUUUGUGAUGAAAUAUUGAUAAGCUUCAGGAUGCAAGCAUGAAGAAAAGAAUAGAAGAAAUAUUCACCAACAGAUGGAAAGUACACGUGUGGAUGAGAAGAGAAGAAAAACAUUCAAGAUUUUUUACUAACCUGAAGGAAGUGGAUGACAAGAUGGGAUACCAAAGUGGAGCCCUAACCAUAAAGAAAAAAGAUACAUCUGCUUGCUACUUGAUAUAACGAGGGAAGAAAGAAUUGGAGACGUUUUGGUUCUAUCUUCCUAGCUUCCCAAUAUUUUCAUAAAGUCUGGUGUAAAUUAGCAAGACUUUUGGUAGUAAGAAUUAGCUUCAAAAGUAUUGAAAAGUCAUUUAUUUCACAAAGUUUUUAAAAGUCAUUUACAUUUUGAAUACCUCAAAACUUUUACAUACUCUUUAAAACUCACAAUUGAAUACAACUAAACUUAUAAAGACUAUUUAAAAGUCAUAAUUGAAUACUUUCAGACUUCUAAACUCAUUAAAAGUCAUUAAAAGUUAGAAUUGGAUACACCCCCCUAAAUAGAAACUUAUAAAUACCACUUGGCUUGAUCACCAUGGCUCCUCAUCAAGAUCAAUGCCUUCUCCAAAAGAAUCCUCACCCAGUUCUACACUCAUGACAGUCAAAAGAAUGUCUCACAAAGUGUUGGAUCACAGCCAGCUUAGACGCACCGCGAAAUCCUCCCUCUUCUCCACCAUCUCAUUUACUGCCAUCUUCUUCAUCAUCCAUGCAGACAGCUUUGUCUCCAACCUUUGCAUGCAUACAAUAGACUUGAGAAUUCAUGAAAUUCUUGACCAUAAUCAUGUCCAGACUCAAGUGGCUCAAGAGCAAAUUGAGUCAGCCUUGACAACUGAGCAGAGCACGCCACAGCUUUCAAUUCAAGCGAAGAUUGAGGAACUUGAAGAUGAAAUUCAUGAUCCUCUGGUUCCUCCAGAAAAUACCACAAGAGAGGAAAGACGUGUGUGGUUCCGACGAAAACUGCCGGAGCCAGAGAUACUCAAGUCAGACAAAUUGUCACAGCAGUUCCACAGUCCAGUGCUCGAGUUCCUCAACGAUGGAUGCAGCCUUCAAUUCUACAUGGUAUGGCUUUCACCAGCAAAGUCAUUUGGGGAAAGAGAUUUCUUGACCGUGGACACCCUCUUCAAAUCCCACCCUCAAGGAUGCUUGAUGAUCAUAUCAAACUCCAUGGACUCGGCAAGAGGGUACAGAAUCCUGAAGCCUUUACUUGACAGAGGGUAAAUACUUGCAAUCGCACCAGACUUUCCCUUUCUUGUCAAGAACACACCAGCUGAGUCUUGGCUUGAAGAAUUAAAGAGUGGCAGGACAGAGGUUACAUCCCAUUAUCUCAAAACCUAUCCAAUCUGAUUAGGCUUGCAAUGCUAUACAAAUAUGGAGGUAUCUACUUGGACACAGACUUGAUAAUUCUGAAGGAUUUCUCUGGGUUGAGGAAUGCAAUUGGAGCACAAAGUUUGGACUCAGAGUCCAAAAUCGGGAACAGACUAAAUAGUGCAGUGAUGAUCUUUGACAUAAACCAUCCAAUUCUGCUAGACUUCUUAGAAGAAUUUGCUACAACUUUUAAUGGGAACAAAUGGGUCACAAUGGACCUUACUUGGUCUCCAGAGUAAUUGCUAGACUAGAAAGGAGUGGAAGGUCACUGGAUUAUAACCUUACAAUAUUGCCUCUUAAGGCAUUCUAUCCAUUGGACUGGAUUAGGAUACACAGGAUCUUCAGGAAGCCCGAGAGGGAAUCGGAGUCAAGAGCGGUGGAAAUCACACUAAAUGAGCUAAAUGCAAGGGAGACUUACGCUGUGCACCUAUGGAACAAAUGAAGUAGACAGUUGGCCAUUGAAGAGGGAAGCGUCAUGGCGAGAUUGAUCUCAGAGCACUGUGUCAUUUUCCAGGACCUAUAUGCUUCUUAAAGAAAACUUAUAUGCGGUAAUAUGGUGAAGGAGAAGCUAGUUCAAGCAAAGUGACUCAUCUGUGGCAAAGCCUCUGCAGAACUCAGAAAAGAAAAGGAGCUCUUUGUUCAGAAGUAAAAUUAAAUUGGUAGUUUAAUGCUUGAAUAAGUCCCAAGGCUAGGUAAGUUUUUGUUUAAUGCAUUGCCAAGCAUUUUUUAUUUUCUGUCUUUUUGGUUUGAGAUAUUCUAUUUCUCUAGUUUCUAAUGUAAAAAGAUCACGACUUAUAUAUAUAGUUUUAGAUAUUCUCAAAAGCAUGGUAAAUCUGUUAAUGAGUAUUUCUGUUUCGAUGAGUGUUCAAAUUUAGUAGAAAAGCUCCUCUGCAUUUAGAGCCGGUGCAGUUUCCUGCAUUUUAAAGAGAAACAAACCAACCAAUCAAUCCCAUUGCUUUAAUCACUUCACUUCAGCACAAACUUUUUGCACAAAAACUUUCUGAUGCCAUCAAGUCCUUUUUCUAGUGAUCCAUUUCUGGAUCCACAAAAUAACACAAAAAUUGUGAAACUAGAUACAACAUACAUAUAUAGACUCAUUAUAGAAGAGGAAUCAAUUACAUAAAUGACUGAUAAACUCGAUGGAUGGCCAACAAAUUUACAUUAGCGAGAGUGAAUGCUAUUAGUAUGUCUGUAUGACCGUGAGAACGAAAAGGGCCACAGCAGCAACGAAUGAUAUGAUACUCCAUGGACUAGAGAAGUACGUGUGGUAAAGGAAGUUUAUAUGUCUCCUAAAUCGCACAAGGCAACCAAGACUUACAGUAUGCAUUCACUUGGUCACACAACUUACCAAAACAGAAGUCCUUCACAACAACCAUGUCCAAUAUAGUUUUGAAUUCAGUGAAAUAUUAUUGGUCUCCAACACUACUGUGAUUUAAUAGAUUUAUGAUCCCUCUUUCCCUUAGUAGUUUUAUAUCCCGUGUGGAACUAAUGAGACUCUUCGUGAGGAUCAAAUACGAGUAAUAUGAUGCGUACUUCUAAGGCUGCAUUGCUCAAAAGCGAUCAGGUUCCUAAAGAGUGAAUCUGAUGUCAAGUGAAUGUCCACUGGUGGAAUUCUGAUUAUUCCCUUGACAAAAGUUAUGUUUAACAAAUGGUCCUCCGACAACCCUUUUUCAAACUCAAUCCCAGCCCUUAAAAGGUUUGAAGCACUAAAAUUGAAUCCCCAUGUUUUAAUAUUGGUUGCAGCUGCUUGUUCAGGCCUAGGAAUCCCUGAAGUUAGAUGUAUUGUAGAAACAUGUUGAAUGUGAGAAGUCAAUUCAACAGACUGAGAUUGAGAUAUGACCAGGUCAGAUCUCUGUAGCACUGCGUUUCAGUUGGUGAUUUGUUGUUAUGGAAUCUAAAUUUGGGAGGUAAAAUUUGUGCAAAAGAUGAAGCAAAUGAUGGUUUUUUGUGUCAGGCUCUUCUUUUGUUGACUUUUGGUUCAUUUCAAAGAACUUAAGAGCAAGGCUAGUGACAGAGUUUGGUGUACCCUUAAGAUGAGACUUCAUAGCAUCAUACAAACUUUUGAGAAUAAAGAAGGGGAUCUGGUUUUCAAGUAAUAUCAGAUCAUGGCGAAGAGCUGCAAUCAUCCAAGCACUAUUGAAUAUCGGAUCAGAUUCGUCUUCUAACUUCAUAUUUAAGUGUUGAUCAUACCUGAGGAAAAGUUCCAAUAUAAAGCAACAUCUAGUAACAUGAUUUCUGCUAGCACAUUCUUAUCAAUGUGGUCUAUCUUUUCGGAAUAGCAUCCAUGAACCUUUUCAUCUAAAUCAUAAAUAGCAUUUGUACACACUUCUAAACAUUGGAGGGAUUGUGGAUGAUCUUCUAUUCGUGCAUAAAAAUAUUGCAUGUAAUGCCAUUUAUGAUGUCUCAUAGCUACAAGGGCAUGGUUGCCUAGAUGGAAGGGUCCAAUUGAGACAAUACGAGAGUUGUAUGCUUCAUCCUUGACUUUUCGAAGGUUUUUUGGGACUUUAUAAAUGUUCAAGUUUUCUGACCCUGUUGCCACUUUCUGGUGAAGUUUUUUAGUAAUCUCCCGCUUCCAUUCGUUCUUAUCAGUUGCUUCUGCUUCCUACCAUGAUUUUAUAGGACAGCAAUGAAACACGACAUUAUAAAUGACACAUGCAUGACUCAAAAAAGUUACAAAAAAUUUACAAAAAAAAUUGCAAUAUUGAUGAAACAACUGCAUCUGAAACUCAAAUCUACAUCUUACCAGUUGUAGGAUGUCCUCAUUACUCCUCUCAGCAGAUUUUCCUUUGCCGUUCAGCUUCCAGUAUGAGCUUCCUUAGGGACGAAAUAUUGCCUUUUAUAGCCCUAUUAUGAUGAAAUAUAGUUAUUGUUUUCCGAGAACUUCAAGUUCUCAAACAGACCAAGUCAAUCAUCAAGUUUUGAACUUUUGCUAAAUUUAUUAGUUAGAAAUAUUGAACCUUUUUAUAAUGGAAAUGUUGUGUGUAAAAGUUUGUCAAUUUAUUAUAUUAGGCUCUUAGGCUCAACCAUCCUAUUGUCUCUGUCCUUAGAAGUUGACUUCAGUCCUCAAUCAGCUUUGACAUCUUAAUCUCAGAAGAAAACUAAACUUAUGUAGUAGUUUGUGUAGUUUUCUUUGUAUUUGUUUGUAUCUGAACCCAACCAAAAGAGAAAAAACGUAACAGAUGCAUUUUUAUACUGUAAUGUGCACCCCCAUCUUCGCACUAUGAAAUUGCAAAACCAGAAACUCCAACAAGUGAAAAAGAACUAUAUUUCAAUGUCAACGGAAAAUACUUACUGAUAGACUUUACUCUUAUAUGGCCAUAUGUUUUCUGAAAGUUGAGAACAUCUCAUUCAAUCGUACUUCCCUCCUCCUGCCCUACCAAAUCAUUUUUUCUUUCCUUUUUGGAGAACUCCUAGUUCUCAACAUACCAAGUCGACAAUUAGGUUUGUAUUUUCUUUGCCAGAUUAUAGCUUGUUGUGUGUUAAAAUAGUCAAUUUAUUUUAUUAAGCAAACAAAUGUGAAAUAUGGGGUUCUCUUCUCUUUUACUUUAAAUUAUAAUCUUUGCUCUCUGUGCUUGCUGCUUUUGAUGGUGCUUAAGAUUUAAAACAUGGGCUUCCUUUAUUUCCAGAGUCUGAUAGAAACUCAAAUGCAAGUCUUGGGAAAACAAUCUUACCCAUUUACACUGACUCGAAGAAUGCAAAAACAUGGGAGAUGAUGAGCCUGUCUCUCCUUUUCUUCUCUCCCAUUUCUCUUUUGGGGUUCUUACGUACAGCUAGGAGCUAACUACGCCACCGACACAUUUUCGAGUCAUAAUUAAACCCUAUAUGAAUCACUAUGUUUGUAAGAGCAUCCACAAUGGGCUCCCUAACCCACCUCCUUAGACAAAUUUUAGGGAGAAAUCGUAAAAAUGCAACUCUAACCACGCUCCCUAUCUACCUCCUAAAAUAGGGAGUCCUCUAGGAGCUCCUAAAUCUGAGGAGAGAGAAAGGACUCCUAAUGACUCCCUAUAAUUUAAUGCUGUCUUAUUUAAUGAGUAUUUCAAACCUUUAUUUAAUGUUAACUAUUUUUUAUUUUAUUUUUUAAUAGAGAUGGACCAAUCAAAAAAGAGUUAUAGCAUUUAUGACUCUCCAAAUUAGGGAGUAUGGUUGGAGUUGGAAUUUUUUAGAGAGCUCCUAAAAUAGUCUUCUUAUAUUCUUAGCCAAAUUUUAGCUAAGAAAUAGAGAGCAUCAUUGUGAAUGCUCUAAGGUCGUGAUCAAAGUACGUAUAAAUUAUUUGUAAGAUCGCCACAAAGAAGAACGUUACUAUUUGGAAUUCCCAAGGACAAAAGUGGUGGCCAAAGGAGGCCUUGCAUUAUGAAUGUAUGAUUGAAUAGCGGUCAAUUAGUUGGUUUGCUUGUUGGUUGGCAGUCUUUUUUUUUUUUUUUUUUUUUUGAGGACCUUUCCUAUUGAAAGGGGCGAUAGCAUAUUAAACUCACACACACAACACGGAUGCUAGGACUCGAACCCAGGACCUUGCCUGAGGGAGUAAAUACUCCAAACCACUACACUAGUGGGUCCUUUGCGGUUGGCAGUCAUUUAAGACAUGAAUUUUGGGACAGUGGAGAAACCACACACACAAAAGGAAAAAGGGGUGGCUUCAAUUGAGGACACCAUUUUAGAUUCCACUACACAUUAUUUUUCAAUGAUUAGAACCACUUAAUUUUUAGAUAUUCCCAAGGACAAAAGUGGUGGCCAAAGGAGGCCUUGCAUUAUGAAUGCAUGAUUGAAUAGCAGUCAAUUAGUUGGUCUGCUUGUUGGUUGGCAGUCACUUAAGAUAUGAAUUUUGAGACAGUGGAGAAACCACACACACAAAAGAAAAAAAAGGUAGCUUCAAGUGAGGACACCAUUGUAGGGCUCACUACACAUUUUUUCAAUGAUCCGAACAGCUUAAUUUUUAGAUAUCCCCAAGGACAAAAGUGGUGGCCAAAGGAGGCCUUGCAUUAUGAAUGUAUGAUUGAAUGGCAGUCAAUUAGUUGGUUUGCUUAUUGGUUGGCAGUCACUUAAGACAUGAAUUUUGGGACAGUGGAGAAACCACACACACACAAAAGGAAAAAAACGUAGCUUCAAUUGAGGACAUCAUUGUAGGGCCCACUACACAUUAUUUUUUAAUGAUCCAAACUGCUUAAUUUUUAGACAUUCCCUCAAAGAUCAUAUCUGCAAAAAAAUCACUUGAAUCCGAUACUAAUUGACCACUCAAUUAGAUGAUUGUUAUUUUAGUCUUUUAUUGAAGCACUAUGUUCGUCAAUUUUUUUGCUUGCAAUUAAAUGCCUUAAUGAUUUUCAAUUUUCUAAUUAUUUUUUCAAGGAUGAUCUACGAAUGAAGACUUGAAAAAUAGACGGUUUGGAUCGUUGAAAAAAAAUGAAGAAACCCAAAAAAUGAUGGUGGUAGAGAUCCAACACUAAAACGCAUGUGGAGAUUCGACGGUAAGACGCAUUCGUUUGUGAUGAGUAGAGGAAAAUCAUAACAAAACGAAAAGAAAUAGGGGAAACAUCAUGUCUCUGAAAAUAGGGGAAGAGAAGAGGGGAGAGGGGAGAGCAAGAACAAUGGCUUCCUCCCCCCCCUCAAAGUGAAAACAACUCUAUAGUGUUUUUUGAGAGAAGAGGCUAGGGUUUUCAGUAGCCUAAUUGCAUGGGCGGAACUACCCUAUAGGCUACAGUGGGCUGUUGUAACACCCCGACCCCAAAUUUCCCCAAAUUUUAUCCUUAUUUAAUUAUUUAAUUAUUUAAGGAUAUUUUAGUCAUAUUUUUAACUGGAGAGAGUUUGGGACCGUGACUUAUAUUUUUGGAUAGGUCGUACUGAGACGAGUUCAUAGACACGUAGUGGGCUCGAAUCGGAGUUGUAACGAGAGAGAUAUGGUCAAAAGAAGCCCAGUGGCAUAAUCGUAAAUAUUUUGAAAUGGGAUUUUUUAUAAAAUCUGAUUUUUUUUCUCUCUCUCUCUCUCUCUCUCCCGCGAUCUCUCUCUCUCUCUCCCGUCGGCCUCUCCUCUCUCUCUCCUCGUAACUCCGGCCACCGGCCGCGGCUGCGGACGGGGCUGGUACCAAAAGAACCGGCUCGACCUCGGCGUCACGACCCAGCCCAUCCCUGCCAUCGGCCGCUGCUCCAGCCGCCGAAAAAUGACGAUUUUCGCCCGGAUGUCGCCGGAUCUUCACGGCCGCCGAUCUCCCUCAUCCGGCAGCCAUUUCUGGCGAUCAAGGUAUGAAAAUUCAUCCCCUCUGUAUGCUCUAGCUGAUGGAUGGGUAGGAUUAGAUCGAUUCUUAGCGUAGACAAUUCGAUUUUCGAAUUGAAAAUCGGCCGAACUUCGGCCACCGUGAUCGGCCAUUUCCGGCCACUUUUUGGGGUAGGUCCAAGAACAAAAGUGGCUCCAAAUAAGGUGUUAUACCUAGGGUAGGAGUUUGGAGCCGUGGUUUUGAGAUUUUCCUGCGAAGCGUUAUCGCUUUGGGCACCACGCGCUGCCGGCGCGUGCGGCGGCUCGUGGGCACUGUAGAAAAAGUAGCAAUGUGUUCCGAUGAGAUCCUUAGGUUGUCACGAGUGCGUAGGAUUUUGCGGAUCUCAAUUCGGACGUCGUUUGACUAUCGAACGGAUAAUCGCAUAGUGUGCGUUAUCCGGGUUCGAUAGGUUGGGACCGUUGGAUGGUCCCAAAUUUAAUAUAUGUUAAUCUAGGUAUUUCUAGGAUCGUGUAGGAAUUCACAGAUCGUGAAUCGGAGCCCCGGAUGUUCCGAAUAAUAAUUUAAAGUUUAUAUUUUAUAUUAACCGUCAGAUCAUGCCAUCGUGAGAAAUCCGACCGUCUGAUCUGAACCAAACUCGCAGGACAAGUGUCCUAUACCUGGUAGAACCCAUAGAGACUUUCAGAUCAGAAAUUGGAGGUCGUGGGUUCUGCAGGUCCGUUUGACCAGGGUUAGAGUAGUUUGACCCUUGGUUGACCGUGAGUCUCCCGGAGUAAUCUCACCCUUCCAGGGGGGAAUUAUCGGGAGCUAGAUGAUUGUGGAGGGUUACACAAUAUAAGAAUUAAUUUAUAUAACUAUAAUUAUAUAUGGUUGUACAAUGGUACAACAGAGUCUAGAGUGUCAGUUUGGAGUGCUAUACGCACUACUUUAGGUACCUCCUCAGAUGUUGGAUCCACUACAAGUACCACCAAGUGAAAGUUAGGUCCCACGUGGCGUAGGUUAUCUGGCGUUGGGACAGGCCCCAUACGUGGCGUUGGUUAUACCGGCAUAUGGGGAGCUAUGUAAUAUAAUGUGCAGGUCUCACGUGGCGUAGGUUAUCCGGCGUUGAGACAGGCCCCAUACGUGGCGUUGGUUGUACCGGCGUAUGAGGAGAUUAUGUGAUAUUGUGUUGAGGUCGCACGUGGCGUAGGUUAUCCGGCGUGUCGACAGACCCCAUACGUGGUGUUGGUUGUACCGGCGUAUGGGGAGAUAUGUGAUAUGAUGUGCAGGUCUCACGUGGCGUAGGUUAUCCGGCGUUGAGACAGACCCCAUACGUGGCGUUGGUUGUACCGGCGUAUGGGGAGAUAUAAUGACAGUAUGGCAUGGUCGCACGUGGCAUAGGUUAUCCGGCGUGUUGACAGGCCCCAUACGUGGCGUUGGUUGUACCGGCGUAUGGGGAGAUUAUAUGAAAUCCAGAGAAAUAAAAUAAGGUAUCGCCCAAGUGUGGAAUUGGGUUUUAGGGAAGAACUACGUAUGACUUGAUCCCUCAAGGAGGGUACGUAGGCAGCCUAAGGUUGUUAGGUGCAACCGCAGACUAAAUAUUAGUCAUAAUUUGUAUUUAAAUUGUUUGGUAGUUGUUUGAGAAUUAUUGGGAGGCCGAAGGCCAUUUAUGAGAAUUUGCAUGAAAUUAUAUUGUGCAUGCUGCCAGUUGGAAAUAUUAAAUGCGUUUUCAUGCAGGUAUAAUUUUGGGAAAUGUCCAAUUUAUAGGGGAGACUGCCGAAAUUUCGGCAGGGAGUCUCAGUUUUUAGUAAGUGGAUCUGUCAUCGGAGUGAUGUCAGGAAUUCCAAAGGGUUCGUCCCGAGUUUUGAGAAAAUUCGGGGCGGGUCCUUUCAGCUGUCGCAUAGGGAGCUCUUUAGGGGUUUUAAAAAAACCUAUAUAUCAAAUAUAGUCCAAAAUGUAAUAACUUAUUAAAGUUCAAAAAGAUUUUAAUUCUUUAUGAAUUUAGUUGCAGGGUAGCAAUAAAAAUAAAAUAAUGUUGUUGAACAUAUUUUCAUUUUGAUAAUAUGUGUUUUUCGGUUGCAUUUAAUAUGUAUUUGUUUUAUGUUAAAGCUUAUUAAAAAUUAGUCAAUAGAGCUAUGAAUUAACAUGGUUUAUAUAAUUUAAUGUAUAUUCUAUUUCUAGAAAGAGUACAUAAAUGUAAGUGCAAAAAAAUUAUUAUUAGAUUUUAAGCUAAUAACUUAAAAAAUUCAUGGUUCUGCCCUAACCAAAUUGGAAGAGUUAAAUUCUAGUCAUUUAGCUUAGGACCACCCAUGUAACUAUGUGAGCUUUAUUUAUAUAUAUAUAUAUAUAUAUAUAUAUACACACAAGCGAUAUUGGAGAAUGAGAAUUUUCUUACACACACACUGUUAAGGUACCAUAAGAAUUCGAACUUGAGACUAUAGGUCUCUGAGUCAUGUGUGCGUUCUUUGAAUUGCUUGGAUGUGUAUAUAAUUUUGUCCUUGUAAUAACAAAAGAGUAAGAUGUGCUAAUAAUCUGCUCUCUUUUUUCUUCUUUUUAAAUUAAUGGGGAGGAAAGAUUUAAACUUGGAUCUUUUAUAACAUCGAAAAUAGAAGUACUACUAAGUUAAGAGUUAGUUGGAAUACCCUACUCAUUUACACCGUUAAUUGGUAACAGUUCAAUUAAAGAUAGGAUCCGACGUCAUAGACCCUUAAAAUUCAAAAGAGCAAGUGUCAUUCAUUCAAUCCCAGCAGUACUAGGGUUUAGGUUUCUAUAGGAGGAUCAGUGUUCACUUCCAUUGGGCCCAAUCUGUGAUCCAUGAGACCUACAUAGACCACAUGUGUUGAAUAGAGAAGCCCAUGUCAUUUUAUUGGGUUGGGUUGGGUUGGGUGGCCUUGGCCCAACUGCAGUUGCAAUUUGGGUGUACGUUAGUUCAAAAUCAAUACAAUUUAGUCCAUUCACAUCCGAUUCAAUAUAAAUUGGAUUGGAUGAUCAGUUUUGAUAAUGGAAAAAUAAAAUAAUAAAAUAAUAAACAUUUAUCCUUGGUUUAAUAUAAUUAAACAUAUUAAUAAACGUAAAUGUAAGAUAUAAAUAAAAUACUAUAAUAAUAAAAUUAUUUUGAUUAUAUAAUACAUUAAACAUAACUUCAUUAAAUGACUUAAAAUAUUCAUAACUUUUUCAAUCAAAUCUGCCAAAUCAUCAAAACUAAUUGAAAUUGGAUUUGACCGGAUGUUCCUAUUGUCGUGCCUGAUCAGCUGAUUUGCAAGAAUAAAUAUCGAAGAAAUUAAUUGUUGCUAAUUUAUCAAGACUACAUAUCUGCGAGGAAAAAGAAACUAAAUUAAUUGUUGCUAAUUUAUCAAGACUACAUAUCUGCAAAGGAAAAAGAAACUAUUUUUUGCUUUCUGUGCUUGCUGCAAAGAAAAUUGGAUUGUGUUAAAGUCAGAUGACAAAUUAUGGAUUUUGAAAAAUUAAGGUGACAUUUCUCUUAAAUUUUUCUUUAAGGUGACAAAUUGAAACUGAGGUAUAAGUUCAGGUGACAUGUCUACAAAAAUCUCUUCUUAUAAUCGAUCAUCCGAUCCAAUCAUGUCAGCGUAUCCAAUCAAGUCUGCCAAAUCGUCAAAACUGAUUGAAAUUGAAUUGGCCUGUCGGUUGAUUUAAGCGGAUUGAAUUGGAUCUUAUACGCCCCUAGUUGCAGUACCGCCAAAGCAGCAAAGAAGCAAUCUCUGCAGAGAGCCCCAUGCCGAUACAGCUGACAGCUGGAGUAGCCGACCGAUUCUCAGUCACUGAAGCUGAGCUGCUGCAGAGUAAAAUGCUGAGAGGGAAGCUGUUCACGCUACAAAUAAACAGCUUCGAUGGGCAUGGCCCAGUUCGUAUUGUCGUGCCUGGACAGCUGAACUGCAAGAAUAAAUAUCGAAGAAAUUAAUUAUUGCUAAUUUAUCAAGAAAACAUAUCUGCAAAGAAAAAAGAAACUAUUUUUUUUGCUUUCUGUGCUUGCUGCUUUUAAUGUUGGUUAAGAUUUUAAACAUGGGUUUCCUUCAAAAGUUGUAUAUGUAAAUCGCAAAUGCAAGUCUUAGGAAAACAAUCUUACAUAUUUACACUGGCUCUGGCUCGAAGAAUGCAAGAACCAGCCACUUGUCUACCAUUCUUCUCUGCCACUUCUCGUUUUCGGUUCUUACAGCUACGCCACCGACAUAUUUCGAAUCAUAAAGAUUAUGAACCACUAUGUCGGUAACUGUAAGGUCGUGUCAGAGCAGAAAUUGACGAUGGUCAUAAAGAAAAACGUUUCUAUUUGGAAUAUCUGAUUGUGGUCAGCUUUAAAACUCUAUCCAAAUGUCAGUUGGAGAUGUUGAAAUCCAAAAUUUGUCGUCGGUCACAUGAGACUUGAAUUUUGUACAUAAUGAUACUACAAGUGUUUCUUUUCUUCAUCAUCCCCAGGCCAUGAAUUCUGCCUUGUGAGUGUGUAUAUAUGAUGAUAUAAGGUUUCUCUUUUUCAUCAGUCAUGAGUUCUGUCAUGGAUUUCCUUUCCACUCCCAUAGCAAUAAGUUUGACAGUAAUUUUAGCUCUACUUGUGAUCAGAUCCCAUACCAGAAGAUUGGGUACUGAGAACAAAAAGAGAUACCAUCCUGUUGUGACAACCUUCUUAAACGUCCUGAUCAACUUCUCUAGGCUACACGAUUACAUGACUGAGCUUGCAUGCAAACACAAAACUUACAGUCCUCUCAGCACACCCAAACUCACUCCAAGACAAAGCCAAAGGACAGUCAUGCAAAGGACCAACGGUCAUCUCUCUUGUGCUAACGUAUAUAGAUGUGAUAGAGUUAUAGAAUAUACCUUUAUACCUUUUUUGUGCCUAGCUCUCUCUAGGGUUUUCCUUUUCUGUAUAAAAGCAAUAGCUCAGGAAUCGUAAAGGCACGCUGGGCCAUUCUGAAUAUAUGAAAUACAUUUGUAUCUCAACUUUCCUCUUCUGUAAAACCUUCUGAAGAACUUUCAUAAGUUAUGCUAACAGCUGUUAUCACUUCUCCUUCUGCAACCACGUGGUCAGAGCAUAAAUUGGCUGUAAGUAAAGUCGUCAUAAAGAAAACAUUAUUUUUUGGGAUUCCAUUAUAACCUUGUGGAUGGCCAAACGAGGCCUUGGAUUAUGAAUUUGAUGUCAGUCCACUGGGAGAUAAAGUGGUGCUGUAACAUUAUAUAUAUGUAACAAGUGUUUCUUUCGUUCAUCAUCGGAUGAGUAUCAUGGAUUUUCUUCCUAUUUCCUUAUCUCCCAUUGCAAUAAGUUUAGCAGUAAUUUUAGCUGUACUUAUGAUCAGAGUCCAUUUGGGUACUGAGAAGAACAAAAAGAGAUACCAUCCUGUUGUCGCAACCUUCUUAAGCGCCCUCGUCAACUUCUCUAGGCUACACGAUUACAUGACUGAGUUAGCAUUCAAAAACAAAACUUAUCGGGUGCUUAACUUGUUCCAAAAUUAUGUUUUCACCACAGACCCUGCAAAUGUGGAAUACUUCCUCAAAACCAACUUUUCAAACUACGGCAGGGUAUGUAUAUAUUAUUUUCUUUUUAUGCUUUCGUCACGCAGAAGAGAGGUCAACUACGGGGGGGGGGGGGGGGGAGAGACUUUAAUUAGAGUAUCUAUCAACUGUUCUUCAGUAACUACUAGCCCAGGACAUGCAUAUUUCCUACCUUAUCCUCUAUAUCUAAGAUAUAUUUUAUACACUAAAACUAGUGAAAUAUAUUGUUACGUUUCUAUAGAAGCAAAUCAACAUGCCAAAGAUUUCAAAUCCUGACCUGCUGCAGGGGUUGUACCUCUACACCAUUAUGUCAGAUUGUCUGGGUGAUGGGAUCUUCGCCGUGGAUGGCGCAAAAUGGGUACAUCAAAGGAAGGUAGCAAGCAAUGAAUUAUUAACCAAAUCCGUGAGAGACUUCAGCGGUGCAGUUUUCAAAACCAAUGGUGUGAAACUUGCUCGGAUAAUUUCUGAAGCUGCAACCUCCGGCCAAGCGAUAGAGAUCCAAGUAAGCUUGCCUCAAUUCUUCAAUAAUAACAUAUAUAGCAUUGUUAUUUGAUCUCUUUUUCAGAUAUUUUAAUCUUGAUGUUUUGUUUGUUUUUGGGAAGGAUUUGUUUAUGAAAGCAGCCUUAGAUUCAAUCGUCAACGUUCUUCUUGGUAUCGAAGUAGACACCAUGUAUGGGACAAAUAAAGAAGCUAUCCGGUUUUCCAAUGCUUUUGAUGUAGCAAAUGAGAUGACCUUGUAUCGUUGCGUUGAUUUCUCCUGGAAGAUUAAAAAGUUGUUAAACAUUGGAUCAGAAGCCAUGCUAAGGAAGAGUAUAAAAGUGGCAGAUGAGUUUGUUUAUAACUUAAUCAAAAGCAAGACUGAAACAGUUGCAAAUUCAG
rnacentral:lncRNA from 1 species